AUAUUAGUGCCUUGGUUUCAACGCGAAUAUUAAAGUGUAUAUUUGUCAAUUAAGAAAUAUAAAAUGGAUUUAUUCGCCACUCUCUUGUUAGCAGUAUUUUGUGUUGGUAUAAAAGGAGAAUGCGACGAAUACGGAGCGAUCGAGUGUGAAGGGUAUAAUCUACUCCCAGAUCAUCCUCUUGGACUUCUGCUACCCGACGAAAUUGAGCCCUUGUGUAGCGUAGUGACAAAAUUAGCGUCUUGUUUGAAUGCAUCUGCUGCCGGCUGUGAACAGGUUGAACAAAUCGGCUGGAGAAGUGCCAUUUUGACUUCUAUGUACAUCUGUAAUAACCAAAAAGCGUAUAGAAAAUCUGUGUCCUGUUUCUUCAAAGAUGAGACCGUUUCAGCCAUGGAAAAAUGUGCUGAUGAUCUGGAAUACAACAUGGAUGAAAUGGAAUGUGGAAGUUUCCCCGUGUUUAAGCAGUGUACAAUCAAUGCCAUUACUACUAAUUGUCAACCGGAAGCUGUGGUAACUAUGCGCGCCAUAUUAGACGUAAACACGGCACCAAAACUUGAUGCAAUGAAUUGUCCCGUUGAAGACACAACUACGUCAUCAACUACUCAAACACCGACUACGUCAUCGAAUACACAAAAACAACCAACGUCAUCAACUAAUUUGUAUUUACUGAUAAUGAUUCCUCAGAUCAUAUCACUAUGUUUCCUUUAAACCAAUGUACAUUAAAUUCAGAAAACAACACAACUAAAAAUCAUUAAGUUGGAGUUAAUUAUAGAAUUUAAUUGGAGUUAUAUAUAUAAUUUAAUUGGAGUUAAUUAUAGAAUUUAAUUGGAGUUAUAUAUAGAAUUUAAUUGGAGUUAAUUAUAGAAUUUAAUUGGAGGUAAUUAUAGAAUUUAAUUGGAGUUAAUUAUAGAAUUUAAUUGGAGUUAUAUAUAGAAUUUAAUUGGAGGUAAUUAUAGAAUUAAGAUGGAGGUGAUUAUAAAAUUUAAUUGGAGUUAAUUAUAGAAUUUAAUUGGAGGUAAUUAUAGAAUUAAGAUGGAGGUGAUUAUAAAAUUUAAUUGGAGUUAAUUAUAUAGUUAAUUAUUUAAUUGGAGGUAAUUAUAGAAUUAAGUUGGGGUUAAUUAUAGGAUUAAGUUGGAGGUAAUUAUAGAAUUUAAUUGGAGUUAUAUAUAGAAUUUAAUUGGUGUUAAUUAUAGAAUUAAGCUGGAGGUAAUUAUAGAAUUUAAUUGGAGUUAAUUUUAAAAUUAAGUUGGCAGGUAGAAUUUGAUAUAAGAAUAGAAUUUAAUUGGAGUUAAUUAUAGAAUUUAAUUGGAAUUAAUUAAAGAUUGUAAUUGAGAGAGGGGUUUUACAUAGGCUAAGCCUGUUCCCCAAUCCUAUUCAGACAACCUGAAUAAAAAUACUGUUUAAAAAAAAAUGUAAUUGGAGAUAAUUAUAGAAUUAAGUUGGGGGUAAUUAUAGAAUUUAAUUGGAGUUAAUUAUAGAACUUAAUUGGUGUUAUUUAUAGAAUUUAAUUGGAGUUAAUUAUAGAACUUAAUUGGUGUUAUUUAUAGAAUUUAAUUGGAGUUAAUUAUAGAACUUAAUUGGUGUUAUUUAUAGAAUUUAAUUAGAAUUAAUUAUAGAAAAUAAGAGGAGCUAAUUAUAGAACUUAAUUGGUGUUAUUUAUAGAAUUUAAUUGGAGUUAAUUAUAGAACUUAAUUGGUGUUAUUUAUAGAAUUUAAUUAGAAUUAAUUAUAGAAAAUAAGAGGAGCUAAUUAUAGAACUUAAUUGGUGUUAUUUAUAGAAUUUAAUUAGAAUUAAUUAUAGAAAAUAAGAGGAGCUAAUUAUAGAACUUAAUUUUUGCUUUAUUAUUAAUGCAGAGAGGGAAUCGUGAUAAGGGCGAUAAUAUAGUUUUAUAAAAAUUUAAACAUUCGAUGUGCUACUGUUUCUAGUCUCUAACAUAACACCACUGUGUCGAAGAGACGGGAAAUAGGAUUGUUGAAGAUCUGGAAUAAAACCAUACUAUAGAA